GACGAACGCUGGCGGCGUGCUUAACACAUGCAAGUCGAACGGAAAGGCCUCUUUCGGGGGGUACUCGAGUGGCGAACGGGUGAGUAACACGUGAGUAACCUGCCCUUGACUUUGGGAUAACUUCAGGAAACUGGGGCUAAUACCGGAUAGGAGCUCCUGCUGCAUGGUGGGGGUUGGAAAGUUUCGGCGGUUGGGGAUGGACUCGCGGCUUAUCAGCUUGUUGGUGGGGUAGUGGCUUACCAAGGCCUUGACGGGUAGCCGGCCUGAGAGGGUGACCGGCCACAUUGAGACUGAGAUACGGCCCCGACUCCUACGGGAGGCAGCAGUGGGGAAUAUUGCACAAUGGGUGGAAGCCUGAUGCAGCAACGCCGUGUGCGGGAUGACGGCCUUCGGGUUGUAAACCGCUUUCGCUCAUGACGAAGCUUUGUGUGACGGUAGUGGGUAAAGAAGCACCGGCUAACUACGUG
rnacentral:rRNA from 1 species